GAUUCUGUCAAUGCCUGGAAAAUUCUCAGAAUAGAAAGUACGGACAAUAAUUACAAGUUCAUAUUUCCAAAAGCUAAAUGCUGUCCAGCUGACUGGAGUAUGAGGCUGUCACACGCAAGUAAUCCUGGAAACGUAGUCUUAAUAUUUUAAUAACAUUUUCUAAGCAUCCAACGCUGUUGUCGUCUGUUAAUACUAAAACUGUCGUCGCGACUCGCGCCACAUCUCGGUACUCUUUGCUUCAUUAGUUACCUGGGGUAACUUACCCCCUUGCGUGAUGUAAACGUUUCGCCUGGAGCCGCGGCUUCUGUCGGAAAUUUAAGUUCAAGUUCAGUGCUGGGUUUCAAAAACAGCGCUUCCUCUUGUUUUACAACAGAAAGGCGAGCGAUACACGCGGUGCUUCUGUGUGGCGCCAACAAGUAUUUGCCUUUCCUCAGUGUAAUGGCGACUUCGGAUGUGAUAUAAAGUACCAGGGCCAAGGGGGUGGGGGCAGCGAGCGGGGGUGCAAAAAGGUUUCAAGUUUUCAGAUAUCAUCUAUACUCUGAGUGGAACGCUGUACAGUUAAACCAGAGUAUUCAGUUGCUCAAUAUUUCCGCCAACAGUUAAACCAGAAUACUGAAUAUUUCCGCAAGACUUUAAUUCGACCCUCCGCCCUCUCCCCGCUUUACAAGGGCAGUCAUUUAAACUGAUAACUGACAGGUGAAUGCGGAAUGGUCGUUGUUGUAUAUAUGACAUUUUUAAGCACCCCCUAAACGAUGUAGCACGAAGGACAGGAUGCUCUGCUGAGAACUACACAGCUUUCAAGCAUUUUCAAAAAAUGCAAGUGAUGGAAUUUCCACGCAACUUUUGAGAGGAGAGGGAGAGAGAGAAGGAGACAAGUAAACGUAAUAAUGCAGAUUGUCGUGUUCGCUUUAACUGGGCUCCUAGCAAUGUAAAAUUAAUCCGCCGAGCCGAAGGAUAUUACGUGAAAUGCCUUAGAUAUGUACUCAACAUCGGUACCCCAUCUGAGAAUGAAAAAAAUCUAGUGAUGUUUCAAAAAAAUUGUUGAGAACAUGAAGUGCAAAAGAUUUGUAUCAGGUCUCUAAGUUUUGGCUGUUGGCUCCAGAGGCAGAAGAGUUGCCCACUAUAAUUCCAGAUGAAGUAUGGCUGAUUGGAGAAGACUAGCUCAUUUCCUCUGUUAAAAUUCUUGGACAUCCAAUAUCAAAAAGGCAUAUGGGAGCAGCUGUCAGUGCUUGCAGGUGUUUUUGUUUGACCGUUCCUGAAGAAGAGAGAAUGUGUUCUCUCCAAUUAAUUUUCCAGUAUUUAACAUUUUGUUGGUUUAAAGGUGAAGCUGCUAAUACUGCUGCAUCUGUCAUUUCUCAGCCUAUUUGCCAGAAUGUAUGGAUUUCAUAAUGUAACAAAACAUUGAAUGGUGGUGAGAUUAU